rnacentral:rRNA from 1 species
UGGGGAAUUUUGGACAAUGGGGGAAACCCUGAUCCAGCCAUCCCGCGUGUGCGAUGAAGGCCUUCGGGUUGUAAAGCACUUUUGGCAGGAAAGAAACGUCGCGGGUUAAUACCCCGCGAAACUGACGGUACCUGCAGAAUAAGCACCGGCUAACUACGUGCCAGCAGCCGCGGUAAUACGUAGGGUGCAAGCGUUAACCGGAAUUACUGGGCGUAAAGCGUGCGCAGGCGGUUCGGAAAGAAAGAUGUGAAUCCCAGAGCUUAACUUUGGAACUGCAUUUUUAACUACCGGGCUAGAGUGUGUCAGAGGGAGGUGGAAUUCCGCGUGUAGCAGUGAAUGCGUAGAUAUGCGGAGGAACACCGAUGGCGAAGGCAGCCUCCUGGGGCAUAACACUGACGCUCAUGCACGAAAGCGU